rnacentral:rRNA from 1 species
CCUACGGGUGGCAGCAGUGAGGAAUAUUGGUCAAUGGACGCAAGUCUGACCCAGCCAUGCCGCGUGCAGGAAGACGGCUCUAUGGGUUGUAAACUGCUUUUGUACGGGGGUAAACGCAGAUACGCGUAUCUGUAUGAAAGUAUCGUACGAAUAAGGAUCGGCUAACUCCGUGCCAGCAGCCGCGGUAAUACGGAGGAUUCAAGCGUUAUCCGGAUUUAUUGGGUUUAAAGGGAGCGUAGGCGGUCGGAUAAGUUAGAUGUGAAAUCCCGAGGCUCAACUUCGGAAUUGCCUUUGAUACUGUUCGGCUAGAGAGUAGUUGCGGUAGGCGGAAUGUAUGGUGUAGCGGUGAAAUGCGUAGAGAUCAUACAGAACACCGAUUGCGAAGGCAGCUUACCAAGCUACUACUGACGUUGAGGCACGAAAGCGUGGGGAGCAAACAGGAUUAGAUACCCCAGUAGUC